rnacentral:rRNA from 1 species
CGUAGGCGGCUCUGUUUGUCGCGUGUGAAAGCCCCGGGCUCAACCUGGGAGGUGCGCGCGAGACGGCGGGGCUGGAGUUCGGGAGAGGAGCGUGGAAUUCCCAGUGUAGAGGUGAAAUUCGUAGAUAUUGGGAAGAACACCGGUGGCGAAGGCGGCGCUCUGGACCGAGACUGACGCUGAGGCGCGAAAGCGUGGGGAGCAAACAGGAUUAGAUACCCUGGUAGUCCACGCCGUAAACGAUGUGUGCUAGACGUUGAGGGGCCUAGCUCCUCGGUGUCGCAGCUAACGCUUUAAGCACACCGCCUGGGGAGUACGGCCGCAAGGUUAAA